UACAGAGACUGCAAGCGUUAUUCGGAUUCACUGGGCGUAAAGGGUGCGCAGGCGGCCGUGUGUGUGAGGCGUGAAAGCCCGGGGCUUAACCCCGGAAUUGCACCUCAAACUACACGGCUAGAGCAUUGGAGAGGGUAGCAGAAUUCACGGUGUAGCAGUGAAAUGCGUAGAUAUCGUGAGGAAGACCAGUGGCGAAGGCGAAUCUCUGGACAGUUACUGACACUGAGGCUCGAAGGCCAGGGGAGCAAACGGG
rnacentral:rRNA from 1 species